AGUGAACGCUGGCGGUAGGCCUAACACAUGCAAGUCGAACGGCAGCACAGUAAGAGCUUGCUCUUACGGGUGGCGAGUGGCGGACGGGUGAGGAAUACAUCGGAAUCUACUUUUUCGUGGGGGAUAACGUAGGGGAACUUACGCUAAUACCGCAUACGACCUACGGGUGAAAGCAGGGGAUCUUCGGACCUUGCGCGAUUGAAUGAGCCGAUGUCGGAUUAGCUAGUUGGCGGGGUAAAGGCCCACCAAGGCGACGAUCCGUAGCUGGUCUGAGAGGAGGAUCAGCCACACUGGAACGGAGACACGGUCCAGACGCCUACGGGAGGCAGCAGUGGGGAAUAUUGGGCAAUGGGCGGAAGCCUGAUCCAGCCAUACCGCGUGGGUGACGAAGGCCUUCGGGUUGUAAAGCCCUUUUGUUGGGAAAGAAAAGCAGCAGGUUAAUACGCCGCUGUUCUGACGGUACCCAAAGAAUAAGCACCGGCUAACUACGUG
rnacentral:rRNA from 1 species